CUGGAGGUGAAGACAAUGAAAGCUUUUGGCCACCUAUUUAACUUCCCGUAAUUACAGUGCAGCUCCCAGCACAUCCCGAGCCACCUGCAGUGCCUGUUUCUGCUGAAAGGGCCUCCCAGAUGUUGGGCACCCCUGGGCACGAGGCCCUGCAUCUCUAGGGCUGUGGCCAUGGCUCUCGAGCCCCAUGGGUGCUCUUUGCACCGCGCUGCCUUUGUGAAGCUGGGAAGGGAUCCAGAGCAGCUGCGCUAGGACCUGUCAAUCUCAAACUGCAAAGUCAUAAGGGGAGAAAAUAAUCAUCGUAUUAAUAAUAAUAAUAAAGCCGUCAACUUGUCUCGCCCUCCAACAGUAAAAAGGUUUUGGUUGGAGGUUUGCAUCAGUUAUAAUUUUCCCCAAGCUGAUUUCUCCCCGUGAUGCCACUAUGCAGCCCAUAAGCGAUGCUCAGGCAAAAUCUCCUCUGACAUUCAUCUCUGUUUACAGAGCUCAUCCAAAAACAAGAGGCCUUUGCUUCUCUUUAUUCAGCAUCACCACGACUUGGUUGCCAAGGCACCCGCCUUUGAUUGCUGUGGUUUGGCUCCAACCAGGGAUGCCUGAGCCCUCCUGACUGUGUCCCUGCACUGAGCCCACAGCUGGGCAGCGAAAUGUCCCCAGUGCUGGCAUCCGCCGUGAUAGAGACCCAAUUCCACCACCAAGCCUUGGGGAGCUCCUUUCUGGGCCCUACAUUCAAGCUUGCCUUCAAUCUUGAUUUAUCACGGGCAAAAGAAAAUGGAAAAGAGAGGUACAAAAUGAUGUUUUGUCAGCAGCUGUGCCUAUGUGGCACUUGCACCAAAAUCACUGCUGCUCUAUAUGCUGAACUGGAAGAACUGGUCAAGCAGUCCCUGAAACAAGGGUGAUGCGGUGUUGGACCAGCUGGGAGCAAAGCUGAGAUUGUUUCCAUAUGUUCUGCUGGUUUUCUACCCCAGCACCACCACCUUCACCAGCUGAUGUAUCUCCAACUGAAAUACACUGGAUUUUCUAACGAAAUCAUUUGUAGCUUCAAAACCCACCGCCCCGAGCCAGCCUGGUGCAUGAGAGCUGUACCCUCUGAGGCAGCUCCCAUCUGUGCAUUGCUGCUGAGGCUGCCAACAUUCAUAAAUACCUCCAAAUUCAAUCUGAUCAAUGGAAGAAGAUGCUUCUCCUUUUCUGCUUUUCCAUCAGAAAAGAGACAUCUCCUAAACUGCACGGCACACUGAGGGGAAGGAGCGGUGAGAAGUGAGCUGGGUAGGCAGCAGACUACGCGUCGUGAUGCCUUUAAGUUGCUCGAUGAAGUUCAUUUCUCCUUGUCUGUACAAGGCUGGACUCUGCAUUUUCAUGGUAAAUUUGUUUACUGAGCCGUUGUUGAAAUUCUGGAAGCAGAGAAAAUGCAUUUGCUCCAUAACCUUUCCGGAUCUGACAAGUCCUAUAAAAUCUAUUAAAGCCUUUAAUGAAAUCCCCGCUCAGAGCCAGCUCCCAUGAAUGAAUGUGGAAUCGGAAUUUAAAUUAAAAUGUUGUUUUUGUAGUCUGUGGGUUUUAGCCUUGACAGAAAUUAAAGGGACAGUUCACAUUUGGGGAUUUGUUGCUCUCUCCCUUCACUUUUGUACUGCCUCUUCCUGCAGAGGAUGGGUGUUAGAACCUCUCCUCCUCUCUCUGAGAGUGUGACUCAGCUGCAAGCACAAACCCGGGUAUUCUGCAUAAUUUCAAUUAGAGAAGGCAAAAUUGGCUAAUGGGCAGCGCUGUCCUUUCGAUGAGCUGUGGGUCUCUUGUUAGCAGACACAGGGUGCUGUGCCCAGUCUCCCCUUGAGGUACACGGGGCUGCCCUCACUGCAGAGGUGGCUGCUGCAGU